rnacentral:rRNA from 1 species
UUAAGCGACUAAGCGUACACGGUGGAUGCCCUGGCAGUCAGAGGCGAUGAAGGACGUGCUAAUCUGCGAUAAGCGUCGGUGAGGUGAUAUGAACCGUUAUAACCGGCGAUUUCCGAAUGGGGAAACCCAGUGUGUUUCGACACACUAUCAUUAACUGAAUCCAUAGGUUAAUGAGGCGAACCGGGGGAACUGAAACAUCUAAGUACCCCGAGGAAAAGAAAUCAACCGAGAUUCCCCCAGUAGCGGCGAGCGAACGGGGAGGAGCCCAGAGCCUGAAUCAGUGUGUGUGUUAGUGGAAGCGUCUGGAAAGGCGCGCGAUACAGGGUGACAGCCCCGUACACAAAAAUGCACAUAUUGUGAGCUCGAUGAGUAGGGCGGGACACGUGGUAUCCUGUCUGAAUAUGGGGGGACCAUCCUCCAAGGCUAAAUACUCCUGACUGACCGAUAGUGAACCAGUACCGUGAGGGAAAGGCGAAAAGAACCCCGGCGAGGGGAGUGAAAAAGAACCUGAAACCGUGUACGUACAAGCAGUGGGAGCCUCUUAAUGGGGUGACUGCGUACCUUUUGUAUAAUGGGUCAGCGACUUAUAUUCUGUAGCAAGGUUAACCGAAUAGGGGAGCCGAAGGGAAACCGAGUCUUAACUGGGCGUUAAGUUGCAGGGUAUAGACCCGAAACCCGGUGAUCUAGCCAUGGGCAGGUUGAAGGUUGGGUAACACUAACUGGAGGACCGAACCGACUAAUGUUGAAAAAUUAGCGGAUGACUUGUGGCUGGGGGUGAAAGGCCAAUCAAACCGGGAGAUAGCUGGUUCUCCCCGAAAGCUAUUUAGGUAGCGCCUCGUGAAUUCAUCUCCGGGGGUAGAGCACUGUUUCGGCAAGGGGGUCAUCCCGACUUACCAACCCGAUGCAAACUGCGAAUACCGGAGAAUGUUAUCACGGGAGACACACGGCGGGUGCUAACGUCCGUCGUGAAGAGGGAAACAACCCAGACCGCCAGCUAAGGUCCCAAAGUCAUGGUUAAGUGGGAAACGAUGUGGGAAGGCCCAGACAGCCAGGAUGUUGGCUUAGAAGCAGCCAUCAUUUAAAGAAAGCGUAAUAGCUCACUGGUCGAGUCGGCCUGCGCGGAAGAUGUAACGGGGCUAAACCAUGCACCGAAGCUGCGGCAGCGACACUAUGUGUUGUUGGGUAGGGGAGCGUUCUGUAAGCCUGUGAAGGUGGCCUGUGAGGGUUGCUGGAGGUAUCAGAAGUGCGAAUGCUGACAUAAGUAACGAUAAAGCGGGUGAAAAGCCCGCUCGCCGGAAGACCAAGGGUUCCUGUCCAACGUUAAUCGGGGCAGGGUGAGUCGACCCCUAAGGCGAGGCCGAAAGGCGUAGUCGAUGGGAAACAGGUUAAUAUUCCUGUACUUGGUGUUACUGCGAAGGGGGGACGGAGAAGGCUAUGUUGGCCGGGCGACGGUUGUCCCGGUUUAAGCGUGUAGGCUGGUUUUCCAGGCAAAUCCGGAAAACCAAGGCUGAGGCGUGAUGACGAGGCACUACGGUGCUGAAGCGACAAAUGCCCUGCUUCCAGGAAAAGCCUCUAAGCAUCAGGUAACAUCAAAUCGUACCCCAAACCGACACAGGUGGUCAGGUAGAGAAUACCAAGGCGCUUGAGAGAACUCGGGUGAAGGAACUAGGCAAAAUGGUGCCGUAACUUCGGGAGAAGGCACGCUGAUAUGUAGGUGAAGCGACUUGCUCGUGGAGCUGAAAUCAGUCGAAGAUACCAGCUGGCUGCAACUGUUUAUUAAAAACACAGCACUGUGCAAACACGAAAGUGGACGUAUACGGUGUGACGCCUGCCCGGUGCCGGAAGGUUAAUUGAUGGGGUUAGCGGUAACGCGAAGCUCUUGAUCGAAGCCCCGGUAAACGGCGGCCGUAACUAUAACGGUCCUAAGGUAGCGAAAUUCCUUGUCGGGUAAGUUCCGACCUGCACGAAUGGCGUAAUGAUGGCCAGGCUGUCUCCACCCGAGACUCAGUGAAAUUGAACUCGCUGUGAAGAUGCAGUGUACCCGCGGCAAGACGGAAAGACCCCGUGAACCUUUACUAUAGCUUGACACUGAACAUUGAGCCUUGAUGUGUAGGAUAGGUGGGAGGCUUUGAAGUGUGGACGCCAGUCUGCAUGGAGCCGACCUUGAAAUACCACCCUUUAAUGUUUGAUGUUCUAACGUGGGCCCGUAAUCCGGGUUGCGGACAGUGUCUGGUGGGUAGUUUGACUGGGGCGGUCUCCUCCUAAAGAGUAACGGAGGAGCACGAAGGUUGGCUAAUCCUGGUCGGACAUCAGGAGGUUAGUGCAAUGGCAUAAGCCAGCUUGACUGCGAGCGUGACGGCGCGAGCAGGUGCGAAAGCAGGUCAUAGUGAUCCGGUGGUUCUGAAUGGAAGGGCCAUCGCUCAACGGAUAAAAGGUACUCCGGGGAUAACAGGCUGAUACCGCCCAAGAGUUCAUAUCGACGGCGGUGUUUGGCACCUCGAUGUCGGCUC